UCAUCAUGUUUCCUUUUUCAGGAAAUUUAGCUUAUUUUUUGAGGUCACCUAAUCUUCUACAACCUUGGCAAUGGCGGCUGCCUCUUCUUGGUUCAGAGGUGAUCGUUGUUGUGAUGAAGCUGCAGAGGUGGCAUAGGUUGAGGGAACUUGGUAAGCUCAAGGGACACGUCGAAGUUGGUUUGUCAACUAGAAGGCGCUCGACAUCGAGACUGUCCAGCAGUUUGUACACGGUGGGAUGAUAUGGGCUUACAUGACUGCCUCUUCAGCUACAACUACUUGGGAGUUUUAGCUUAUUCUUUGAGGUUGCCAUAUCUUCUACAACCUCGGCGAUGGCGCCACCUCUUCUUGGUUCAGGUGAGCCCUUGAUGUCCUCUCUCCUGCUCUAAGAUGGGGUUCGGCCAUCAAGUCAUUGAUUUAGUGUUCAGAUAAAUGGUUGUGGUCUUCCGAUGGGCCACC